rnacentral:rRNA from 1 species
CUGCGUGGAGCCGACCUUGAAAUACCACCCUUUAAUGUUUGAUGUUCUAACGUGGAUCCGUAAUCCGGGUUGCGGACAGUGUCUGGUGGGUAGUUUGACUGGGGCGGUCUCCUCCUAAAGAGUAACGGAGGAGCACGAAGGUUGGCUAAUCCUGGUCGGACAUCAGGAGGUUAGUGCAAUGGCAUAAGCCAGCUUGACUGCGAGCGUGACGGCGCGAGCAGGUGCGAAAGCAGGUCAUAGUGAUCCGGUGGUUCUGAAUGGAAGGGCCAUCGCUCAACGGAUAAAAGGUACUCCGGGGAUAACAGGCUGAUACCGCCCAAGAGUUCAUAUCGACGGCGGUGUUUGGCACCUCGAUGUCGGCUCAUCACAUCCUGGGGCUGAAGUAGGUCCCAAGGGUAUGGCUGUUCGCCAUUUAAAGUGGUACGCGAGCUGGGUUUAGAACGUCGUGAGACAGUUCGGUCCCUAUCUGCCGUGGGCGCUGGAGAACUGAGGGGGGCUGCUCCUAGUACGAGAGGACCGGAGUGGACGCAUCACUGGUGUUCGGGUUGUCAUGCCAAUGGCACUGCCCGGUAGCUAAAUGCGGAAGAGAUAAGUGCUGAAAGCAUCUAAGCACGAAACUUGCCCCGAGAUGAGUUCUCCCUGAGACUUAGAGUCUCCUGAAGGAACGUUGAAGACGACGACGUUGAUAGGCCGGGUGUGUAAGCGCAGCGAUGCGUUGAGCUAACCGGUACUAAUGAACCGUGAGGCUUAACCUU